AGGAGGACCCUCGGGGUCGAGACAGACUUGGGCUCCUGCCAGCUCCCCCAAGCCUGGGGACAGACUGGACCGUCAAAGCAGGAGACUGGAGGCCAACCGACACCUGCUGCCUCCCUUGAUCCUGGGGGAUCCCUCUCUCAGGCCCUUAUCUUCCAGCCAGGAGACCUUUAUCAGCCUCAUCUCUUUCGUGCUCACAAUGGAGCAGGAGGCCAGGCACUUGCCGUGAUGCCCACAAGCUUUUCAAAGGGCCUCUCAUCCUGGGCAGGGGCUCCAACUACUUCCAACCCACACCCUGUAUCAGUGCCAGCCUCAGUGCCCUCCUGUGCCCCAGGGCUCUGCCAGGUUGGCCCAGAAGCCGGGCAUACCUGGUCCACCAAGGUGUGCGAGUUUCUCUCAGACAGAAAUGGGAGAAGGACUUUUUCCAGUCGCUGGGCCCCAUCCAGCUGUUUUCUACCUCCUAAGAGAACUUGGGCUUUGAUUACAGCAGGGAAGAUUUAGGUUAGACACCAAGAAGCACCGGAACAGGUGAUAAAGGGAAAGUUUAGGACUCUGCCUUUGUGCUUUAGAAAUACAGCCAGUAGCCCUCUGUUUCACA